rnacentral:rRNA from 1 species
AAAUUGAAGAGUUUGAUCAUGGCUCAGAUUGAACGCUGGCGGCAGGCCUAACACAUGCAAGUCGAGCGGAAACGAGUUAUCAGAACCUUCGGGGGACGAUAACGGCGUCGAGCGGCGGACGGGUGAGUAAUGCCUAGGAAAUUGCCCUGAUGUGGGGGAUAACCAUUGGAAACGAUGGCUAAUACCGCAUGA